rnacentral:lncRNA from 1 species
AUGCAAUACUGCUGAUAAUAAUAAAACAUAUUGAACAAGAACGCUGUGAAUGUUUGUGGGUUUAUUUAAGAUGGAGCAUCUACACAUACUGGCAGACUUCAGUUGCAUUCGGUCAAGCAAACUUAGUGCUGCACAGCUGUGGUUUUUAAGUGUUAAAUUCACACCCUCACACUGCAUCCUGUAUGAAUACUCUCUGUAUAUCUGUAUAUCUAUCUCUGUAUUCUGAAUAAAUAAUAUAUUCCUGUUUUAUGUGCAUUGUUUGCUGUUCUGGACAUUAGCAGUGGACAUUAACAGUGUGUUAUGGAGUGUGUGUGUGUGUGUGUGUGUGUGUGUGUGUGCGUGCGUGCGUGUGUGUGUGUGUAAAGGAAAGGGAGGAGCUUCAGCCUUUGAAAGGGUGAGACAAAGGGGAAGUUAUGGACUGUGUUUGCACUGACCUGAUAAUUGUUGUACACUUGCUCUUUAUUCUUUACUCGUCACUUUCAGAAUGAUAACAAUCUAUGUGUACUCUUGUCUUCUUUCUGCUCUGAGUGUUGUGGUGGUGAAACCGCUCAACAUAGAUGGACGUGUUGGAACAAAUGUUACAUUCAAAUGCUCCGACUGGAACGUUUGGACUGAUGUAAAAUAUAAUGUAAAGUAUCUUUGUGCUGAUCCAUGCUCAAGAGUCAUCAUCAAAGCAGCAUUUAAAGAGACUGUGCGUAAGAAUAGAAUAGAGUUAAGUAACAGUGCAGAAGGUUUAUUUGUGACCUUCAUUCAUCUCCAAAAGUCAGACUCUAAGAAAUAUUAUUGUGCAGUGGAGAGACCUGGCCCAGAUUCAUAUAUAGAGGUGAAUCUUAAAGUCAUAGAUGCUGAGUCUUCCACUCCCAAGACAACUCCAAAAUCAUUUGCUGUUACAAAGAGCUCCACAGUGUCUUCAAGCAGCUCAGACAGUGUUACUGAUCUGUCUGCGUCAUAUACGACCCUUUAUACAACACCUACUGCUGGAAAUUCACUUUAUUGGAUUCUGGUUUUACCUUUUAUAAUAUUUGGAGUGCUCAUACUGAUGCUAACCAGGAAGAUGAUGAAGAAACAACCUAUGGUUGUUACCCCACCAGAAGAUGCAGGAGAGAGUGCAGGUCCUGAUGGAGUCUACCAAUCACUCCACCCAGUUACGAUGGAUGAAGACCAGGUCUAUAGCACUGUCUCACCCACCAGAGGCGUCUGUGACUCCACAGCUAAGUCACAGAUUUGA